rnacentral:rRNA from 1 species
AUUGAACGCUGGCGGCAGGCUUACCACAUGCAAGUCGAGCGGGGUGAUGGUGCUUGCACUAUUACUUAGCGGCGGACGGGUGAGUAAUGCUUAGGAAUCUGCCUAUUAGUGGGGGACAACAUCUCGAAAGGGAUGCUAAUACCGCAUACGUCCUACGGGAGAAAGCAGGGGAUCACUUGUGACCUUGCGCUAAUAGACGAGCAGAAGGUGGAUUCGCUAGUUGGGGGGGUAAAGGCCUACCAAGGCGACGAUCUGUAGCGGGUCGGAGAGAAGGAUCCGCCACACUGGGACUGAGACACGGCCCAUACUCCUACGGGAGGCAGCAGUGGGGAAUAUUGGACAAUGGGGGGAACCCUGAUCCAGCCAUGCCGCGUGUGUGAAGAAGGCCUUAUGGUUGUAAAGCACUUUAAGCGAGGAGGAGGCUCUUUUGGUUAAUACCCAAGAUGAGUGGACGUUACUCGCAGAAUAAGCACCGGCUAACUCUGUGCCAGCCGCCGCAGUAA